rnacentral:tRNA from 2 species
GCCCCGUAGCUCAGGGGAUAGAGCAACGGCCUCCGGAGCCGUGUGCGCAGGUUCGAAUCCUGCCGGGGGCA